AUUGAACGCUGGCGGCAGGCCUAACACAUGCAAGUCGAGCGGAUGAAGGGAGCUUGCUCCUGGAUUCAGCGGCGGACGGGUGAGUAAUGCCUAGGGAUCUGCCUGGUAGUGGGGGAUAACGUCCGGAAACGGGCGCUAAUACCGCAUACGUCCUGAGGGAGAAAGUGGGGGAUCUUCGGACCUCACGCUAUCAGAUGAGCCUAGGUCGGAUUAGCUAGUUGGUGGGGUAAAGGCCUACCAAGGCGACGAUCCGUAACUGGUCUGAGAGGAUGAUCAGUCACACUGGAACUGAGACACGGUCCAGACUCCUACGGGAGGCAGCAGUGGGGAAUAUUGGACAAUGGGCGAAAGCCUGAUCCAGCCAUGCCGCGUGUGUGAAGAAGGUCUUCGGAUUGUAAAGCACUUUAAGUUGGGAGGAAGGGCAGUAAGUUAAUACCUUGCUGUUUUGACGUUACCAACAGAAUAAGCACCG
rnacentral:rRNA from 1 species